rnacentral:lncRNA from 1 species
GUAGCUAGUCGGCAGUCCCGUCUACUACCUGUGGUUAGUCGGCAGUCCCGUCUACUACAUGUGGCUAGUUGGCAGUCCCAUCUAUCCACCGCCUCCUAUCCCGGUUGGCAGUCCCUUCCGAUGCGUCAUCUGGGUGGCAGUCCCUCCUAGAUGGCAUGAGAUGACUAGACAGCAGUCCUUUCUAGUCAUCAAACGAGCCUCAUGAAAAUGAUGUUUUUAUAAGGAUUGAGGAUGAGAUUUUAAGAGGUUUCAAGAUGUUCUUGUUACGUGAUUGAGAUUUCAGUAAAGAGGAUGAUUAAGAGUGUUUUCAAGAUUGUUACUGCAUGCGAGGUUUUAGAGAAUAACUUGGGAAAGCAUUAAGUUUUACUUAUUCAUUUGAAAUUACUUAUUUUUCGUCCACUCACUCUAACGGAUUUUAAAUGUUUUCCCCUGGGCCCUUCGGUUUUAAAUGCCCAGUUUGUAGGCCAGUUUAGCUUGAGGUCGAGCGUACUUGGGGUUGAGGC